GACGAACGCUGGCGGCGUGCUUAACACAUGCAAGUCGAACGGAAAGGCCCUGCUUGCAGGGUACUCUAGUGUCGAACGGGUGAGUAACUCGUUGGUGAUCUGCCCUUCACUUCGGGUUAAGCCUGUUAAACUGUGUCUAAUACCUGAUAGGUGCCAUUUUUAGUGUGAUGGUUGGAAAGUUUUUUCGGUGUUGGAUGAGCUCGCGGCCUAUCAGCUUGUUGGUGGGGUAAUGGGCUACCAAGGCGGCGACGGGUAGCCUGCCUGAGAGGGUGGAAGGCCAAAUAGGGAAUGAGAGACGGCACAGACUCGUACGGGAGGCAGCAGUGGGGAAUAAUGCACAAUGGGAGCAAGCCUGAUGCAGCGAAGCCGCGUGGGGGAUGACGGCCUUCGGGUUGAAAACUACUUUCGCUAGGGACGAAGCUUUUUGUGACGGUACCUAGAUAAGAAGCACCGGCUAACUACGUG
rnacentral:rRNA from 1 species